rnacentral:tRNA from 1 species
ACCAGUUUGGCUCAGUGGAUAGAGCGUCGGAUUGAAGACUGAAGGGUCCCAGGUUCAAUUCCUGGCAAGGGCA